GUGAACGCUGGCGGUAGGCCUAACCCCUGCAAGUCGAACGGCAGCACAGUAAGAGCUUGCUCUUACGGGUGGCGAGUGGCGGACGGGUGAGGAAUACAUCGGAAUCUACUUUUUCGUGGGGGAUAACGUAGGGAAACUUACGCUAAUACCGCAUACGACCUACGGGUGAAAGCAGGGGAUCUUCGGACCUUGCGCGAUUGAAUGAGCCGAUGUCGGAUUAGCUAGUUGGCGGGGUAAAGGCCCACCAAGGCGACGAUCCGUAGCUAGUCUGAGAGGAUGAUCAGCCACACUGGAACUGAGACACGGUCCAGACUCCUACGGGAGGCAGCAGUGGGGAAUAUUGGACAAUGGGCGCAAGCCUGAUCCAGCCAUACCGCGUGGGUGAAGAAGGCCUUCGGGUUGUAAAGCCCUUUUGUUGGGAAAGAAAAGCAGCAGGUUAAUACCCCGCUGUUCUGACGGUACCCAAAGAAUAAGCACCGGCUAACUUCGUG
rnacentral:rRNA from 1 species